ensembl:lncRNA
GGUGGAGAAGAAAGGAGCAAACCUUGACUGGUCUGGGCAUCUCCUCAUGAGAAGGAACUUAUCAGUGGCAGGAGGUGGCCACAGGGGUGGAGGAAUCGAUCUUCCAGGGCAAGAAGGCAGCUCAGACAUGGUGGAGAAAUAUGGAGGGGAGACCAUUUUAAAAAUUAAUUAGUUAGGAGUUCAAUAAAAUGAUAAGUUUUGUCCUGUCUUUUGGUUUGUCAUUAAAUUGACUUCAAGACCCUGCUAAAGAUAUAUAAUUAAUUCUAAGGAAUCAGUGGUUUUGAUUUGUGGAAGGGAAUCCAUUUAGGGAUAAGAGCACUGAGUUCACAUUUUUAGUGCUUUUAGGCUCAUAAAAAGGUCCUUUAUCUUAUCUGAUCCUUAGGAUAACCCUAGAAAUUAGUGCUAGUAUAUAAUUUUUAUUAUUAGAUGAGGAAACUGAGUCUCAGAAAGAAUAAGUGACUUACCCAAAGUCAUACAGUCAAUGGGUGUCAAAGCCAGGUCUCCUGACUGCAAAUGCAGGACUGCUCAAAUGCCCUUACUACAUCCAUAUUCUGGUGCUAGCAUUAUGCAAUAGGAUUUAUUAGCAUUUUUGUGAUUCCUUCUCCCAUAAGGUCAAUGGUGGUAUUCCCAGUUUACAUAUGACAAUAGGGGAAAUAAAGCAACCUAGAGUUGGGGGCGUUGGGGAUUAAAUCUCAACACCAGCUACUUUCAGAUGGCUGCUUUCAAGAGUCCACAAACCAAGCUAUUAAAAUGAUGCUUAGACUUCCAGAGACCAGUCGUCCUUAGUCAAUGCGAUCGAAUAUCCCGUUUUCAUGAAAGCAUGUCCAACUUGCUUCACCGCCACUAGAUGCUGCUACAGAAUAUGAAACAACUCCCAUAUCAUCCUAUCAAUUCCUCCUGCUUGCCUCUCAGUGUGAAAACCUCAAGCGUACCCUGAACUUUCAUGUGAAGUGCCACCCCUGUGAGUUUUUAUGUGGAUUCAAGGCAAUUAGAAGCCCAGUUCCUCCAAAUCCCUCCGCAGACUGGUGCUUUCUAAACGUAACUCUUGGACAUCAAAGCAUGAUAACUGGAGAUACAUCAUUCCUGACAACAGAAGCUCAAUAUAUCAACUCACAUAGAAAAUUGCUGAUUGCCAUUGGUGGGGAAGGCCAGUGUCCUAUCCAGUAGGACAUACCACCUCUCUGCAUUCGAAUCCCACUUCUGUAACGUACUACUCUUGAGACCUGAACCAAGUCAUUUCUAUGUGGAUGCUUAGUUUCCUUGGCUCUCCAAUAAGGGAGUCAAACCAGAUGACUCUGAAGAUUCAUUCUAUUGUUUUUGCCUUUCCUUCCGAGGUUACCUUCUGUAUCCUCUGUAUAUAUCUCGUAUGUGCAUAGUUGUUGGCAUGUUGUCUCUCCCUGUUAGAAUAGGAGCUCCUCAAGGGCAGGGGAAGUAUGUCUUCAUCUCUCUUUGUAUUCCAGCCAACGUCUGACCACUGGUGAGUGCUUAAGAACUGCUUAUUGACCGACUGACUGAUCUCGAUCCCAUUUUUCCGAAUACUCUAGGACUACUUUUAUGUUCAUGUUAAACUGUUCAUUCUUAGGUCUGAAGCUUUCCCUUCUUGGUAUCACAACCCUCUACAAAUCUGCCUCCCUUCCCCCUCUGGGGAACACAUCUUCCAUUGGUGCCAAGCUUAGAAGAGCCUGAGUUAGCUUGGGUAUUGUGACCAGGGUGAGCUGACUCCCAGUGCUACUAUAGUUCUGUUAGGCAGUGAGGAAGCCUUUCUCCUCUAAGCCAGGCAUAGGAAGGCAGCUCCAGGGCAAUCAGGGGAAGACCACGACAACGUCUCGAGUUUACACCACUGAGAAUACUUAUAUUCUCAGCACAAGCUCUCUCUAUCCCAAACCUCCUAAAUCUCUGUCUUCCAUCAAGAAAGAAAUGACCAUAAUAUGAUGGUGAUGGAAUACGAUUGUGCUAUAAGGAAUGAGGAACUGUUUGAUUUCUAUGAAAACUGGGAAGACCCCCAUGAACAGAUGUAGAGUGAAAGGAGCACAACCAGGAGAACAAUGUACACAGAGACCAACUGAUACAUUGUGGGAUGAUCAAAUGUAAUCAACU